rnacentral:rRNA from 1 species
UGGGGAAUAUUGCACAAUGGGCGCAAGCCUGAUGCAGCCAUGCCGCGUGUGUGAAGAAGGCCUUCGGGGUGUAAAGCACUUUCAGCGGGGAGGAAGGCGGUGAGGUUAAUAACCUCAUCGAUUGACGUUACCCGCAGAAGAAGCACCGGCUAACUCCGUGCCAGCAGCCGCGGUAAUACGGAGGGUGCAAGCGUUAACCGGAAUUACUGGGCGUAAAGCGCACGCAGGCGGUCUGUCAAGUCGGAUGUGAAAUCCCCGGGCUCAACCUGGGUACUGCAUUCGAAACUGGCAGGCUAGAGUCUUGUAGAGGGGGGUAGAAUUCCAGGUGUAGCGGUGAAAAGCGUAGGGAUCUGGAGGAAUACCGGUGGCGAAGGCGGCCCCCUGGACAAAGACUGACACUCAGGUGCGAAAGCGUGGGGAGCAAACAGU